rnacentral:rRNA from 1 species
UAUUGGACAAUGGGGGCAACCCUGAUCCAGCCAUGCCGCGUGUGUGAAGAAGGCCUUUUGGUUGUAAAGCACUUUUAGCAGUGAAGAAGACCUAACGGUUAAUACCCGUUAGCGAUGACAUUAGCUUCAGAAUAAGCACCGGCUAACUCUGUGCCAGCAGCCGCGGUAAUACAGAGGGUGCAAGCGUUAAUCGGAAGUACUGGGCGUAAAGCGAGCGUAGGUGGCGUGAUAAGUCAGAUGUGAAAUCCCCGGGCUUAACCUGGGAACUGCAUCUGAUACUGUUAGGCUAGAAUAGGGGAGAGGAAGGUAGAAGUCCAGGUGUAGCGGUGAAAUGCGUAGAGAUCUGGAGGAAUACCGAUGGCGAAGGCAGCCUUCUGGCAUCAUAUUGACACUGAGGUUCGAAAGCGUGGGUAGCAAACAG